GGGGGUGUAACGGUUUCGACAGUAAUUUAGAAGUAUAAAUAGCGAGUAGUGGAUGGUUGCUUUGGCCACUAUAAAAAAGCAAAUUUAAAUAUAAACGCUGAUAAUAAAGAAUUAGCAUACGCUGCUUAGUUUGCGGCGACGUCUUAUCUUUAAUGCCCACGUUUUAGAAUAAGGCGACGAACUAGUGGGAAACGAACCUAUUUCUUGCUAUGGAAAUAGUGGGUAUUUUAUAGCUACUUUAUGAAUAAGUUUGUUUGUUAACUUACUUGUAAGGGAAUUUUGAUAACAAACUGCACUCGGAGAAGUUUAUAUGGAAAAAUUAUUGGACAGGAGUUCGAUUCUCCUCACCUCCACCA
rnacentral:tmRNA from 1 species